rnacentral:rRNA from 1 species
UACGGAGGAGGCAAGCGUUAUCCGGAAUUAUUGGGCGUAAAGCGUCCGCAGGUGGCACUUCAAGUCUGUCGUCAAAGACUGGGGCUUAACCCUGGAAAGGCGGUGGAAACUGAAGCGCUAGAGUGCGGUAGGGGUAGAGGGAAUUCCCGGUGUAGCGGUGAAAUGCGUAGAGAUCCGGAGGAACACCAGUGGCGAAGGCGACACGCUGGGCCGUACCUGACACUGAUGCGCGACAGCAUGGGGAGCAAACAGG